AGCGAACGCUGGCGGCAGGCUUAACACAUGCAAGUCGAACGCCCGGGCAACCGGGAGUGGCAGACGGGUGAGUAACACGUGGGAACGUACCCUUUGGUUCGGAAUAACUCAGGGAAACUUGAGCUAAUACCGGAUAAGCCCUUUUGGGGAAAGAUUUAUCGCCGAAGGAUCGGCCCGCGUCCGAUUAGCUAGUUGGUGAGGUAACGGCUCACCAAGGCGACGAUCGGUAGCUGGUCUGAGAGGAUGAUCAGCCACACUGGGACUGAGACACGGCCCAGACUCCUACGGGAGGCAGCAGUGGGGAAUAUUGGACAAUGGGGGCAACCCUGAUCCAGCCAUGCCGCGUGAGUGAUGAAGGCCCUAGGGUUGUAAAGCUCUUUCGACGGGGACGAUAAUGACGGUACCCGCAGAAGAAGCCCCGGCUAACUUCGUGCCAGCCGCCGCGGUAACAC
rnacentral:rRNA from 1 species